GACGAACGCUGGCGGCGUGCUUAACACAUGCAAGUCGAACGGAAGGGCCCUGCUUUUGUGGGGUGCUCGAGUGGCGAACGGGUGAGUAACACGUGAGUAACCUGCCCUUGACUUUGGGAUAACUUCAGGAAACUGGGGCUAAUACCGGAUAGGAGCUCCUGCUGCAUGGUGGGGGUUGGAAAGUUUCGGCGGUUGGGGAUGGACUCGCGGCUUAUCAGCUUGUUGGUGGGGUAGUGGCUUACCAAGGCUUUGACGGGUAGCCGGCCUGAGAGGGUGACCGGCCACAUUGGGACUGGGAUACGGCCCAGACUCCUACGGGAGGCAGCAGUGGGGAAUAUUGCACAAUGGGCGGAAGCCUGAUGCAGCAACGCCGCGUGCGGGAUGACGGCCUUCGGGUUGUAAACCGCUUUCGCCUGUGACGAAGCGUGAGUGACGGUAAUGGGUAAAGAAGCACCGGCUAACUACGUG
rnacentral:rRNA from 1 species